ACAGGGACUAACAGAAAUGCAGAUAUGACCAAGACAAGACCCAUUCGCCUGCAAGCAGCAGUCUCUGCGACUCACCCAAAGACAUGUGGAGGGCUGUACUUACGAGCCUGGGAGACACACUGGAAGCCACAGCAGUGUGUGCAUCGACCACCUCCCUGUCACCUGGUGCCGUCACUAGUGGAGAGACCUUGGACAACCACAUAGCCAUGCUGGGGAUGGGCGAAUGAGACAGUUUAUCUCACCUCAGCAAAGUGGAGAGUGAUUGAGGAGCACACCUGAUGUCCAUCUCUGGCCUCCAUGCACAGAAAAACGUGUGCCCAGACACGUCACAUGAAUUCACAUACACACAUACACAUGCAAAAAUGUAUGGGAGAUAGAUGUAUGGGCAACCAAACAAGUGGGGCACUAACAUGUGGAUCUGACAGAGGAACUGGGGAGAUGAGCAAGAAUGCAGCUUCCAAUGCGAGCCUGGCAAUCAGCACCAAUGUGACGGAGGCUGACGCUGAGGAUACUCGACACCUACCAAAGCAGCGAUCUGGAGGCUCCUGAGAGCUCGUCACCCAAGCAGACUUAGAACUCGCCUGCCAUGGCUCAGGGAAUGAGGAGGGUCCCCAGCAGAAUGGGUGCAGGGGCGAGGGAAAGA